rnacentral:rRNA from 1 species
GACGAACGCUGGCGGCGUGCUUAACACAUGCAAGUCGAACGGAAAGGCCCUGCUUUUGUGGGGUGCUCGAGUGGAGAACGGGUGAGUAACACGAGUGUAACCUGCCCUUGACUUUGGGAUACCUUCAGGAAACUGGGGCUAAUACCGGAUAGGCGCUCCUGCCGCGUGGUGGGGGGUGGAAAGUUUCGGCGGUUGGGGAUGGACUCGCGGCUUAUCAGCUUGUUGGUGGGGUAGUGGCUUACCAAGGCUUUGACGGGUAGCCGGCCUGAGAGGGUGACCGGCCACAUUGGGACUGAGAUACGGCCCAGACUCCUACGGGAGGCAGCAGUGGGGAAUAUUGCACAAUGGGCGGAAGCCUGAUGCAGCAACGCCGCGUGCGGGAUGACGGCCUUCGGGUUGUAAACCGCUUUCGCCUGGGACGAAGCGUGAGUGACGGUAAUGGGUAAAGAAGCACCGGCUAACUACGUG